rnacentral:lncRNA from 1 species
UGUCACUGUUAUUGUUAAAAAUUGCUUAUUUCUUUCAUAUAUAAUUUAGAAAAUUGAAUAAUAAAAAGAACUUUAAAUGUAUAAGUAUUCAAACAUGAUGUCAAAAUUCCUAAAAAAAAAAAAAAUUUACAAUUUUUUUGAUUUCAAGUUUUUUUAGUAAUUAUUGCCUCAUUUUUAUUUUAAAUUUUACCAAUAUUAUGUUAACUUUAUUAAGGUUAUAUUUUGUAGACAUUAGAAAACAUAAUUACAAGAUUCAACUUAAUUUUAAAAUAAAAGGGAACCUUAUGGACCAAGAUUUGAUGUAUUUACUGACAAAUCAACAAAACGAUGAUCUAUUGUUGGCUUUAGGCAAAUUCUCUGACAAUUUCAAGUAUAAUAAUUUUACAUUUAAAGUCUUGGUCCCUAAAGCAAUAUUGUAUCUGUUUGCUGAAUUGGAAAGAAUCUCAAGAAAU